ensembl:lncRNA
AUUUCUUCUCUCGCUUGUCUCUUUCUCCCUUUCCUUCUCUCUCUUUCUCUCUCUCUUUCUUUCUCCCUCUUUUCUUCUCUCUCACACUCUCUCGCUCUGUCUUUCGCUUUCUCUCCCUCUCUUUUCUUUUCCAUCUUUCUCUCUCACCCUUUCUCUCUCUCACUCCAUCUCUCCCUCUAUUUUUCUCUCUCUCUCUCUUUCUCGCUCUCUAUUUUCUUCUCUCCCUCCUCUCUUUCUCUCUCUCACUCUGAUCUGUUUUAGCUAAUAAUUGCUGCGUUAGUCAAAACACCCAUUCCCCAUUCCACCGAGCCCACCAUGGUGCCUCUGCUGACCCCAUCAGCCUUACCUAGAGCACCUUACCUCUGCGCGGCAGUGUUCAUCCCAAACAUGUUGACAAUCUACAUGGGACGGGCACAGUGACGUGUCAGCAUGGCGUGGAACACAUACACCAGGUCGCUUACCGGAGCUGCAAGCACCCUAACCCCACACAGAGCAGGGGGGCAGACGCAGAGGAGGCUGCCCGACCACUUCCGUGUUCCAUUUUGAGCCGAGUGUGUUUCCUGGUGUGUGGCAGAGCGGAGCACGCCCCGGCUGUGAGAUGGAGCCAGAUGGAACUAGUGCAGUGUCAGUGUCAGAUGGAACCAGGUGGAACCACUACAGUAUCAGUGUCAGAUGGAACCAGAUGGAACCACUACAGUAUCAGUGUCAGGUGGAACCACUACAGUAUCAGUGUCAGGUGGAACCACUACAGUAUCAGUGUCAGGUGGAACCACUACAGUAUCAGUGUCAGGUGGAACCACUACAGUAUCAGUGUCAG